UACGGAGGAUCCAAGCGUUAUCCGGAAUUACUGGGCGUAAAGAGUUGCGUAGGUGGCAUAGUAAGCAAGUAGUGAAAGCGUUCGGCUCAACCGAAUAUCCAUUACUUGAACUGCUAAGCUAGAGGAUGAGAGAGGUUAUUGGAAUUCCCAGUGUAGGAGUGAAAUCCGUAGAUAUUGGGAGGAACACCGAUGGCGUAGGCAGAUAACUGGCUCAUUCCUGACACUAAGGCACGAAAGCGUGGGGAGCAAACGGG
rnacentral:rRNA from 1 species